rnacentral:lncRNA from 1 species
CCUGCUUUCAAAUACAAGUCCCUGCUUCUAGACCACUAUUGCAAUACUAUUUUCGUGUCCUGGAAUUCCUCAUUCAAGUACUCCCAAGCCUGUGAAAUUCAAAAGAUUUCAUCAACACAAUCUUAACAGUCUGGAGGCUCUUGAUUAUAAACAUGGCUUCUUUCCACUGCAUGAACUCGCCAGUCCACCAGGCAGCUCUUCAAGUGCUUCUGAGAGGAUCUGUACAAGGCAGGACGAAAGUGGUCACAGUCACCACUGGUGUGCCACACCUUGUCUAAAAAGUCUGGUGGGUGUGUGGGUGUUUUGUCUGGUUUGUUUGUUUUGAGACAGAAUCUCAGAUUGGCCUUGAAUAAGUCCCCACAUCUCACUGGGUUUACAGGCAUGUGCCAACAGGCAUGGUUUAUGCAGUACCAUGGGUUCAACCCAGGACCUCGUGCAUACGAGGCAAGCACUCUACCAACUGAGCCACAUCCUCAGCCCAUAAUUCUUAGUUUAUAAUCCAAACAAUUUCACUCCUCUCCGAUUCCCAAAGAAUUUUAGCUGUUCCUGAAAGUCAAAUCUACACUUGUUUACUAUAAUCUUCCAAAGAUGACUGCAAUACAUCACCCCACCCCACAUUCCGAUUUCAGCCUGAACCCUAGAGCCUGCUCAGAAACAUCUCACAAGCCUUUGGCCCUCAUCUCUGGGGACAAUGGCUCUUGGAAGACAGCUACUAUGUUCUGAAGAAGCCCAAAUAGUUCUGAACAGAGACUCCACCGAGAGACCAUGAGUAGGUGUGCCCAGCCAUCAACUGACAGAUACAACUGUGGCCGAUCUCGCCAGGAGAUUCCAACCCUCAGCCUUUGUUUCACGAACUUUCUUGCUGGCAAAGGGCCAGACCUCACAAAUUAGAGUUGAGCUCCCCUUUUUCUUCUCUGUUAGAUUUCCUAACUCAUAGAAUCUGUGAGGACAAUAGAAUCAACCCUUUGCUGGGUUUAGUGGCUAUUCCUGGUUGUCAACUUGACUAUAUCUGGGAUAAACUACAAUCCAGAAUUGGAAGGCUCACCUGUGAUACUAAUCUGGAGGCUGGAAGAUACAAGUUUCUGACCUGGAUCUUGACAUGGAGAUCUUGAGGCAUAGUGGAUAUGAAUCCCAGAAUAUUAAGACAAGGAGAUCUCAGGCUGCAGAGAUGGCUCAGCAGUUAAGAGCACCAAAGGUCCUGAGUUCAAAUCCCAGCAACCACAUGGUGGUUCACAACCAUCUGUAAUGAGAUCUGACACCCUCUUCUGGAAUGUCUGAAGACAGCUACAAUGUACUUACAUAUAAUAAAUAAAUAAAUCUUAAAAAAAAAAAAAAGACAAGGAGAUCUCUGAAUUCAAAGUCAUCUGGGAUUAAAGGCAUGGUGACACACACCUUUAAUCUGGGCCACAUCUUCUGCUGGAGACCUACAUAAGGACAUUGGAAGAAGGAAGAUUUACUCUCUUUUGCCUGCUUGCCUUGUAGGACUGAGCAAUUGCUAGAUCCUUGGACUUCCAUUCACAGCUGCUGCUGACCAUUGUUGGGAGUUGGACUACAGACUCUAAGUCAUCAACAAAUUCCCUUACUGUCGAGAGACAACCCAUAAGUUCUGUGACUCUAGAGAACCCUGACUAAUACACAGGGUAUGGUGGCAU